rnacentral:rRNA from 1 species
CCUACGGGUGGCAGCAGUGAGGAAUCUUGGUCAAUGGGCGCAAGCCUGAACCAGCCAAGUCGCGUGAGGGAUGACGGUCCUAUGGAUUGUAAACCUCUUUUGUCGGGGAGCAAGGCCCGCCACGUGUGGCGGGAAGGAGAGUACCCGAAGAAAAAGCAUCGGCUAACUCCGUGCCAGUAGCCGCGGUAAUACGGAGGAUGCGAGCGUUAUCCGGAUUUAUUGGGGGUAAGGGGAGGGUGGACGGUUAUGCAAGUCUGAAGUGAAAGCCCAAGGCUAAACCAUGGGACUGCAUUGGAAACUGUAAAACUGGAGUGCAGGAGAGGUAAGCGGAAUUCCUGGUGUAGCGGUGAAAUGCGUAGAUAUUAGGAGGAACACCAGUGGCGAAGGCGGCUUACUGGACUGUAACUGACGUUGAGGCUCGAAGGCGUGGGGAGCAAACAGGAUUAGAUACCCCAGUAGUC